GAUGCCAAGUGAGUGUGGGCUUGAGAGGCGCUCUGAGGCCCGACAGCUUCUGAUCCCGGAUGGGGAUUUUGCGGCCGGUGCCUCGGCUGGCUCAGCCGUGAAAAAUAAAACAGGGUGGAUUCCAAACGAGACGACACACCAUGUCGCAUAUGAGCAGUACCCAGGAUUCCUCACUUUCAAAUGUGCUCUCCAGAAGAUUCUGACACCCAGCCUGGUUGGGGAAUCACUGAGGGGGUGUCAUCUCUGUUCUUCCUCCCCAGGAACUUUCGGAUCACUGUUCAAGGACUGAGGCCAAUCCGCUCCAUAAGGGAUUGUAACCAAGUGGCCCAGACUUGAAACACAUUUUACAUUUUCCUUUCCCUUCCUUCUUCAUCUCAGAAUGUAGCCUGGAAAUGCACUUUAAGACUUCACUUCCCUCCUUUCCACCAGGCACUCGGAUGUGCUAUUCUCCCUCCUCCAAGUAUGCACGUACUUAGAAAUUCUAGGGGCUUGUUUUGAAACAAACCAGUCCCGAGACCCAGCUGCUGCUUAAACGGAGUUAUGGACAAUUAGUCCACCACCACCAUCGGGCCAGCAUCAAGAUAAUGGCAACCAAACCUCAGGACAGGCAAUUUCUCAAGAUAGCCAUUGGAACAGGGCACGUGGACCUACACCCCGCCCCCUCCCCCCCCAUACCACUCCUGCAUAUCUCCCAUACAGUUUUCCUUCCUAAACCCCCUCAUUCAGCCCUGAAAGAUGAAUGGUCUUUUGAGGACAUGAGCCUGACCAUGCACCAGCUGCUAGCACUGGAAUAAAGCCGCUUUCCUUCCACCACUCCUCGCUUCUGUUCUGGCCCCUGGGCAGGGAGCAGCAGGACCUGAGUCGGUUUCAGGAUGAGCACGAUUCCUGUGAUGAAGGCAUCAGGCGGCAGGGCUCACAGUGCAGACCCACAAAUGGAACCCCGUCCACAGAGGGCUCAGGCCAGCACAGCGUCUUAAAAUCAUCUGAAUCUCACCAUUUUGAAGUGGAAACCACAUGCUCUAUUCCCCACAGGCUGCACAUUGGGCCGUUUUAUUCAUCAGGAACUUGGGGCAUGGUGGAUGGAACCUAUGAGCUUUUUGGUAUCUGAACAGGAACUGAUAAAGAUGGUAAAUGGAUACUAUGGAGAAUUGAACAGAAGGGAGAGGAACAAACAGCAACGUGCCCAGAUCUUAGGAAACCCAGGCUUACUGAAUGAAGCAGACAAGAAUAAAGCAAUUGCCCAGACCUGAGCUUAAAUAGCUGCCCCACCAAACAACGAUAUUCGCCUCUGACGUUUUCAUGCACCAAUAAAAUUUGAUCAUUCAACGUGCUUUUCAGGAGCAGUUGCUCUCUCCAUUACAGAAACUGCUGCACUGGAUUCCUGGUCUUUUUAAAGGAUGACCAUAAAUCAGGAUUAAAAGCCACGGGCACACACAGAAAGUAAAAAGCCCAGCGCGGGGGCUGCCCUCAGGCCUUCCUCCAGCAAGGAGGCUCCCAGUGCAGCCGCCCGCUUCCCAGGCCAACUCCAGACUGUGUUCCGGUCCCACCCUGGCAGCCUGGGCAACACCAGCGAGCUUCUGAAGCCACUAGCACCUCAGUUCCUCAUCCUCAAACAUCAAACAAGGACCCCCGCCUCAUGGGAUUUGUAACAAUUAAAUAAGACAAUACUCGAA